GCCCCGGUAGCUUAGCAGGUAGAGCGGCGGAUUCGUAAUCCGCAGGUCGCGGGUUCGAAUCCCGCCCGGGGCUCCA
rnacentral:tRNA from 1 species